UCCCUGGUGGUCUAGUGGUUAGAACUUGGCACUUUCACUGCUGUGGCCUGGGUUCAACCUCUGGUCUGGGAA
rnacentral:tRNA from 1 species